CAGGUAGGUGGUUUGGUAAGUCUGUUGUGUAAGCUCCCGGCUUAACUGGGAGAGGUCAACAGAAACUACCAGGCUUGAGUAUAGGAGAGGGUACUGGAAUUCCCGGUGUAGCGGUGAAAUGCGCAGAGAUCGGGAGGAACACCAAUGGCGAAAGCAGGUACCUGGACUAUUACUGACACUAAGCUGCGAAAGCUAGGGGAGCAAACAGGAUUAGAUACCCUGGUAGUCCUAGCCGUAAACGAUGCACAUUAGGCGUGAGGGGUAUCGACCCCCUUCGUGCCGACGCAAACGCAUUAAAUGUGCCGCCUGGGGAGUACGGCCGCAAGGUUGAA
rnacentral:rRNA from 1 species